GAAAGUCUUUCUCAUUUGAUUUGCAAUGAUCGUGUAAUCCGAAAAUCGGUAGACUAACGAUCGAGAAGGGACCGUCAUCUCCCCCGCAAAUAAAUAAGAUGUAUAUUUGAAUAGAGGAAAUAAGAACGAAGAAACCGAUCACAAAAGAUGCAGUUGGAAAAAAAUAGGCUAAUAACGGUUAUCGUUACAUUAUAUAAUCCGGACGCAAUCUUGUUUACCAUUGAAACGGUCAAUUUUUACGUUCAAACGUAAAAAUAGCUUUUGCUCGUUAGAUUUAUCGAUUCCAGGUAUUUAGCAUGGGACGAGACGUAAGUAUUGUACCAGUAUUGCCCAUCGCUAGCUAUACAUUUUUCCCACC